GGGUCCUUUGACUUGCAGUGGUUUGGACCUGCCCGACUAUCCGCUUUCUUAUCGUGAUCCCAACUCGCUGAAGACACUUGAAUUUAAUGUUUUGGACGGAAUUGGAAGUUGUGAUGAUACUCUUAACAAAAGCUGUUAUAGUGACCGUUGGUGAUGUAGUUGUGAUUAUGUGAAUCAAUUUUCUGAUGACAAAGGUUGUAGAAGUUUGAAGGAAUCUAAAGAAUUUGUAGAUGCAAUGGAUGAAAUAAACAGAGUUGUAACGUUGUCCAUGGUGGAUGUCGAAGCUGUUAGGAUAACUUGUUUAUAAUAGAGUUCUUCAUGACAUAGGAUUUCCAAACUAUCUUUGCUUUAUCUUUCUACGUUUUUUUUUUGUGCGACCAUUUGAUAUUCCGUACUAUUGGGUCAUAUUGACAGAUUCAAGGAUUGUUAGGUCUCAA